rnacentral:rRNA from 1 species
GACGAACCGUCCUAACGUUGUUCGGAAUCACUGGGCUUAAAGGGCGCGUCGGCGGGCGAGCAAGUCCGGGGUGAAAUCUUUCGGCUUAACCGGAAAAGUGCCUUGGAUACUGCUCGUCUCGAGGGAGGUAGGGGCAUGUGGAACUUCCGGUGGAGCGGUGAAAUGCUUUGAUAUCGGAAGGAACGCCGGUGGCGAAAGCGACGUGCUGGAUCUCUUCUGACGCUGAGGCGCGAAAGCCAGGGGAGCAAACGGG